rnacentral:rRNA from 1 species
AUUGAACGCUGGCGGCAUGCUUUACACAUGCAAGUCGAACGGUAACAGGCCGCAAGGUGCUGACGAGUGGCGAACGGGUGAGUAAUGCAUCGGAACGUGCCCAGUCGUGGGGGAUAACGCUGCGAAAGCUGUGCUAAUACCGCAUACGAUCUGUGGAUGAAAGCGGGGGACCGAAAGGCCUCGCGCGAUUGGAGCGGCCGAUGUCAGAUUAGGUAGUUGGUGGGGUAAUGGCUCACCAAGCCAACGAUCUGUAGCUGGUCUGAGAGGACGACCAGCCACACUGGGACUGAGACACGGCCCAGACUCCUACGGGAGGCAGCAGUGGGGAAUUUUGGACAAUGGGCGCAAGCCUGAUCCAGCAAUGCCGCGUGCAGGAAGUAGGCCUUCGGGUUGUAAACUGCUUUUGUACGGAGCGAAAAGGCUCUCUCUAAUACAGGGGGCUCAUGACGGUACCGUAAGAAUAAGCACCGGCUAACUACGUGCCAGCCGCCGCCGUAACAC